rnacentral:rRNA from 1 species
ACGAACGCUGGCGGCUUGCUUAACACAUGCAAGUCGAACGGUGAAGCGCCUUCCUUUUUGGUGGGUGUGGAUGAGUGGCGAACGGGUGAGUAACACGUGAGUAACCUGCCCCCUUCUUCUGGAUAACCGCAUGAAAGUGUGGCUAAUACGGGAUAUUCUGGGUCUGUCGCAUGAUGGGUCUGGGCAAGAUAUUGUUUCGGUGGGGGAUGGGCUCGCGGCCUAUCAGCUUGUUGGUGGGGUGAUGGCCUACCAAGGCGGUGACGGGUAGCCGGCCUGAGAGGGUGGACGGUCACACUGGGACUGAGACACGGCCCAGACUCCUACGGGAGGCAGCAGGGGGGAAUAGUGCACAAUGGGCGCAAGCCUGAUGCAGCGACGCCGCGUGAGGGAUGGAGGCCUUCGGGUUGUGAACCUCUUUCGCCAGUGAAGCAGGCCUGCCUCGUUUGUGGGUGGGUUGACGGUAGCUGGAGAAGAAGCGCCGGCUAACUACGUG